CAUCCGGCCUCGGACACUUACUAGCUGUGUGACCCUGGGGAGAAAAAGAAAAGCCAGCACAACUGAUUGAUGAAUUUGGGAAAAGGUGUGCAAUGUGUAACAUCUGUGGACGUCUCACCUCCUGGAUGGGG